UACGUAGGUGGCAAGCGUUGUUCGGAAUUAUUGGGCGUAAAGGGCGCGUAGGCGGCGCAACAAGUCAGGCGUGAAAGCCCCGGGCUCAACCUGGGAGGUGCGCUUGGGACUGUUGGGCUUGAGUUCGGGAGAGGAGCGUGGAAUUCCCAGUGUAGAGGUGAAAUUCGUAGAUAUUCGGAAGAACACCAGUGGCGAAGGCGACUUACUGGACACAUAUUGACGCUGAGGUGCGAAAGCGUGGGGAGCAAACAGG
rnacentral:rRNA from 1 species